rnacentral:rRNA from 1 species
AUUGAACGCUGGCGGCAGGCCUAACACAUGCAAGUCGAGCGAGCGGCGGACGGGUGAGUAAUGUAUGGGGACUGCCCGAUAGAGGGGGAUAACUACUGGAAACGGUGGCUAAUACCGCAUACUAUCGGAUAACCCAUAUUGGAUUAGCUAGUAGGUGGGGUAAAGGCUCACCUAGGCGAAGCUCCCUAGCGGGUCUGAGAGGAUGAUCAGCCACACUGGGACUGAGACACGGCCCAGACUCCUACGGAGGCAGCAGUGGGGAAUAUUGCACAAUGGGCGCAAGCCUGAUGCAGCCAUGCCGCGUGUAUGAAGAAGGCCUUAGGGUUGUAAAGUACUGUCAUCGGGGAGGCGUUAUCCAAAGAAGAAGCACCGGCUAACUCCGUGCCAGCCGCCGCGGUAAUUC